AAUCCACUCAAGCCUGGCUUGGUAUUGGGCGCCGGGGACCCCCCGCGCCUCCAUUUCGCCGGCUGGCCGUCGUUUGACUUAGCGUUGUGACACAUGUCGCUAACGACGAAGACGGACCGCGCCGUGAGAACUCUCUUGGACGUCACCCGAUGUUCAGUAAA
rnacentral:misc_RNA from 1 species